ACCCCAGCCCCCACAAAUAUCUACCGAAAAUGCAAAGGAGCUGCAUUCAUCAACCCUAUUUCAGAUUUAAACAAUAAUAAUUUCCCUCGUUGCGUGUAACCUUCUUUUCUCAACAUGAACCGCUCGGAUUCUAUACCCAUACGGCGUGAUCGCUCCUUUGACAGCGUUCUCAAUCGCUUGCUUAGGAUGCGGUCACAGAAUCAUGAGAGCUUUCGGGCUGCCAUGUACAAUUUUCUAAUUGCAGCGGGCGUGGCCGCUUUUGUGGCCGUCUGCUUCAUCCUGGGCCCCUUUGUGCGUCCGCUGCUGUGGGCCUUCCUCAUGGGCGCCGUGCUGUUCCCAUUCAAGCGCAAGCUGGCCGAACUGCUGAACAAUUGGUUCCAGCGCCUGGAGGAGCGCGACUCGAAUGUGAUCGUCUCCAUUUGCCUGGCUCCACUGGAGGCUACCGAGCAUUGCGGUCGCUUGCUCAUCGACUGGCUGUGCCAGCACUGGCAGCUUCUCAUAGCCGGCUGCGGCGUCGCCGUCUGCGUCAAGCUUCUUGUUUUGUAUGCGCCCAAAGGCUGCCUGUUGUUGCUCUGGAACUGGCUGACCUUUUCGCACGGCCUGUUCGUGCGCAUCAUUGGCUUUCUCAAUGUGUAUGUGCUCAUCGUUUUGAUUGCCAUCUACUUGUCCUCGGUGCACUUUUUCUGGAAACCAGAGAAUAGCGCACGUUUCGUUGUUGCCGGCCAGUCCAUGUGGAUAGCCAUUGCCGGCUAUUUGUGCAGCUUUCUGGGCGCGUUUCAGGUGCCUGUUUUCCUGCUGGUCAUGGGCUACGUGCUUGUCUCCACGGCGUAUCAUCUGCAGACGAGUGAUGAUCAUGACGCCAGCUCCUAUUUGGAGCGCCUGCAGAAGCUGUUCAAUAAAAAUGAUUUCGAGAAAUCUUUGAGCAAUCUCAGCAUAUGUCGCCGAGCUGCUGGCGAGCCGACAUUGCAAUCCGAUGUAGAGGACAUUUCGUUGAGUGACACUAUAGAUUCCGAGGACACAUUCGAUGCCAAGCUGGCGGAGGAGCCAGAGGUACACCAAAGCGAUACCUACUUUAAGCUGUUAUUUUAUGCCUGCCUGGGCACCUUUUUGUAUCGCAAUAUUUGGAUGUUUAUACUGGCUGCGGUGCCGGUGUUUCUGCAUUUAUUGUACACCGCGGGCAGCUAUACGGGCCUAACCCAGUUUGUCUGCGGCAAGCUCGACGAUGCCUAUCGGGGCGUGCGGUCUUGGGCCUUGGAGCAUCAUUCGGCUGUGCUGCCGCUGUGCCUGCCGGGCGUUCUGGAGCUCAACUACAAGAUCAACUGCAUUGUGCGGGAUUCGCUGAAGUCAUCUGUGGAGUCUGUCACAUCCAUUCUAAUGAUCAUACUCAUGCUGCUCAUCAUCAUCUUUCUGAGUGUUUUCUUUUGCGUUAACAUCUAUUCAGAGACGAUUGAGGUCGCGUAUCUGGGCAAAGAUCUAAUUAACAAGACAAUCACAGAUCGUCCUGAGCUAAUUGAUAUAUUGCCCGCCAAUAUGCAGGCGUCCAUUGAUGAUGCGCUCGACAAUGCGCAUCAUUAUGGUCGCCGUAAGAUUGAGACCUAUAUAGAUGAUUGGCUCGCCGAUGCCGACAAGGUGCAUGCCACCAAAUUGAAGGAGCAAAUUCUCGAUGUCUGGGACAGGCUCAUACAGUAUUGGAUUGACUUCAACAAGGCGGGCACCUCGUACGGGCCGCGCGUGCCCACGGAUGCGCUGAAAAGCACCUUCGGUGAGAUUGUCGAUAAUCCAGGACAUUUUAAAGAGCUAGUUUUAGUGGCAAAACAGGGCAUCAUCGGCUGGGCGCAGAGCAAUACGCAGACCAUACUUGAGGUUGCCGAAUCUCUGUGGCACAUUAUACGCACGAAUCUCUCGAUGAUAAUGGGCGUUACGGGUGAGAUACUCUCGCUGCUGCUAUCCGGCGGACAGGCGUGCAUUGAGUUCAUAUUGGACAUGAUUGUGUUCUUCACUGCCUUGUUCUAUCUACUGUCCAGCAGUCAGGAGAAGUAUGCGCCCAUGCAGAUCACCAAAUACAUGGGUUACUCUGCCUCGGGCAUUAAAGUCGCUGAUGCCUUGGAGAACUCAAUUACGGUUGUGCUCGUCUCCAUGUUCAAGUGCUCCACGUUUACGGGUCUCUUCACCUGGCUGGUACAUACGGUGUUUGGCGCUCGGAUUGUCUUCCUGCCUUCCGCUUUGGCUGCUCUGCUGGCGGCUGCUCCGUUUUUGGGCAGCUACUGGUGUGCGGUGCCUGCCUUUCUGGAGCUCUGGCUGGCACAGGAUCGCUUCUAUGCGGGACUAAUACUGUUCCUCUUACAAUUCUUUGUGCCCUCGUCCUUCGAGACCGCCAUCUAUGCGGACAUUAAGGGCGGGGGUCAUCCCUACCUCAAUGGCCUGGCCAUAGCGGGCGGCAUGUACUGGAUUGGCUGGCAGGGCGCCAUCUUUGGCCCCCUGAUGCUCUGCUUCUUCAUUGGCCUCUUCGAAGUGGCCACUCUGGCCAUGCGCACGAAUCAGGAGCCCAGGUAUGUUUGGCGCUAGCUUUUGGCAUGCAAGUUAAGAAUUUUAUUUAUAUCGACAACUCUGCGGCCGGAAGCAUAUGAACGCAGCUCGGAUGAGGAGACGCGCACCACGUGAGUCGUCCGCAUGACUUCAAAGGAUCUAGCUCCAACAACUGCGAAUUUCUUUCAAUACUCGAAAUGCAAAUCUAACAAGUUUCCGAGCUUGUCUGGGCCAACUAACUAACUAAUGAAUGUCAAGCAUUUAGCCAAGCUAAGCAAAUUUUUCAGUUUACACGUUAUUUCAUACUUUUUUUUUUAGUAUUUGAUUCGAGUCGCUUUUGUUUAUAUUUUUGUACUAAAUUUUUAAGUAUGCAAACAAUUGAUUCCGUCACUAAAAGCUGUGUAUUAAAACUAAUGUAUUUAACUAAGUUUAUAUACCCUUGCUAAGCAUUACUAUAACUGAAAUUUGUUUUGGCAUAAGCGAAUAGUGCAUACUCUACAACAGUUUGUAUUGUUUUCUCUGAACAGGUCCAAUAAUCUCUCACUUACAACUUAGUCUUAAAAAUAAAAUACUGUAUUUAUAAAAUUCUUGCUUAUGCUCCCUUUAUGGUAUAUAUAUAUAAAGGGAGCCUAAACAAUAAUUGUCUCUUAGCGCUUGCCAAGGGUAUAUAAGCUUCGUUGUGACCGAUGUUAGCUUUCUAGUAAUAGUUUUUAUAUCACCUAAUACUUCGUUUGUUUUGUAUAAAGAGGCACAUAUUUUAAGCCUGACUCUAAAAACCGUCAACCGGUUUCCUCAUGCCAGUUCGUACCUAACUUUGUGCUGGCUACACAUGUGAUUUGUUUAAGCUUAUGUUAAAAACUUUAUUGCAAAUAAAUGUCAUUACGUACUAACAAA